rnacentral:rRNA from 1 species
UCAAAAACAUGGCUCUCUGUGCUAAAGAGAUAGGGAGUCUCGCCUGCUCAAUGAUGUUCUCAUUAAAUAGCCGCAGUAUCCUGACUGCGUGAAAGUAGCAUAAUAAUUUGCCUUUUAAUUGGUGGCUGGUAUCAACGGUAUCAUGAGGGUGAAGCUGUCUCUUAUUUAUUCUAUUGAAUUUACCUACUAGGUGAAAAGGCCUAGAUAAUUUUAUAAGACAAGAAGACCCUGUCAAGCUUUACAAAAUAAAAUUUAUUUUAUGUCUUUGUUUGGUUGGGGCAACCGGGGGGCACAUAAAAUCCCUCCUUUUUUCCUACCUUUCUAGGGAUGAUCCGCAUUAGCGAUCUAAGGAAAAAGCUACUGCAGGGAUAACAGCGUAAUUUUCUUUGUGAGUUCUUAUUUUAAAGAAAGUUUGCGACCUCGAUGUUGGAUUAGGGUAUCCUGAAGGUGCAGAAGCUUUCAAGGGUUGGUUUGUUCAACCAUUAAAACC